GACGAACGCUGGCGGCGUGCUUAACACAUGCAAGUCGAACGGAAAGGCCCUGCUUUUGUUGGGUGCUCGAGUGGCGAACGGGUGAGUAACACGUGAGUAACCUGCCCUUUACUUUGGGAUAACUUCAGGAAACUGGGGCUAAUACCGGAUAGGAGCUCCUGCUGCCUGGUGGGGGUUGGAAAGUUUCGGCGGUUGGGGAUGGACUCGCGGCUUAUCAGCUUGUUGGUGGGGUAGUGGCUUACCAAGGCUUUGACGGGUAGCCGGCCUGAGAGGGUGACCGGCGACAUGGGGACUGAGAUACGGCCCAGACUCCUACGGGAGGCAGCAGUGGGGAAUAUUGCACAAUGGGCGGAAGCCUGAUGCAGCAACGCCGCGUGCGGGAUGACGGCCUUCGGGUUGUAAAACGCUUUCGCCUGUGACGAAGCGUGAGUGACGGUAAUGGGUAAAGAAGCACCGGCUAACUACGUG
rnacentral:rRNA from 1 species